GUGGUGCCCCAGGCUGAGAUUCUGCUGAGUCACUGUGACUGUGGAUUUGGAAGGCUGAGAGCACUGGGGAGACAUGCUCCGUGGAGGUGAAUUUGUUUCUUCCUUUGCAAGAUUCAGAUUCUGCACUCGGGGGCCCAUACAACACACUUCCCUGGGUGCAUGCUGCUGUACCACCCCUGCUCCUCAAGGCAGGGGCUCAAACCUUGUGAUGGUUAAUAUUGAACGUCAACUUGAUUGGAUUGAAGGAUGCAAAGUUACCGAUCCUGGAUGUGUCGCUGAGGGCGUUAGCAAAGGAGCUUCACAUUUGAGUCUGGGCUGGGAGAGGCAGACCUACCCUCAGUCUGGGUGGACACCAUCUAAUCAGCUGCCAGUGCGGCCAGAAUACAAAACAGGCAGAAAAACGUGAAAAGACUAGACUAGGCCUGGCGCUGUGACUCACGCCUGUAAUCCUAGCACUUUGGGAGGCCAAGACAGGUGGAUCACUUGAAGUCAGGAGUUCAAGACCAACCUGACCAAUAUGGCAAAACCCAUCUCUACUAAAAAUCCAAAAAGUUUAGCUGGGUGUUUUGGCACAUGCCUGUAAUCCCAGCUGCUCAGGAGGCUGAGGCAGGAAAAUAGCUUGAACCCAGGAAGCAGAGGUUGUGGUGAGCUGAGAUCACACCGCUGUACUCUAACCUGGGUGACAGAGUGAGACUCACCUCACCAAAAAAAAAAAAAAAAAAAAAUGGCUAGACUGGCUUAGCCUCCCAGCCUACAUCUCUCUCCUGUGCUGGAUGCUUCCUGCCCUCCAACAUCAGACUCCAAGUUCUUCAGCUUUGGGACUCGGAUUGGCUUCCUUGCUCCUCAGCUUGCAGAUGGCCUAUUGUGGGACCUUGUGAUCAUGUGAGUUAAUACUACAUAUGUCUAUCUUAUUAGUUCUGUCCCUCUAUAGAAACCUGACUAAUCCACACCUGUAAUCCCAGCACUUUGGGAGGGCAAGGCAGGCGGAUCCCUUGAGGCCAGAAAUUUGAGACCAGCCUGGGCAACGUAGUGAGACCCCAUCUCUACAAAACAUAAUUUUAAAUAAAAUUAGCCAGGCGUGGUAGUAUGUGUCUAUA
rnacentral:lncRNA from 1 species